UUAAGUUCAGCGGGUAUCCCUACCUGAUCCGAGGUCAACCUGUAAAAAAAGGUUUAACGGCGCGCGCCGUCUGAUCCCGUGAGCGAAUUGAAGAUUCACAACGCUCGGAGACAGACGACUCGGCCGGCGACAUUAGGGCGCGCGACGGGCGCGACGCCCAAUACCAAGCCAGGCUUGAGUGGUGUAAUGACGCUCGAACA
rnacentral:misc_RNA from 1 species